rnacentral:rRNA from 1 species
AAUAUUGGACAAUGGGGGCAACCCUGACCCAGCCAUGCCGCGUGUGUGAAGAAGGUCUNCGGAUUNUNAAGCACUUUAAGUUGGGNGGAAGGGCGUUAGGUUAAUACCCUGAAGUUUUGACGUUACCAACAGAAUAAUCACCGGCUAACCCUGGUCCAGCAGCCGCGGUAACUCGGAGGGUGCAAGCGUUAAUCGGAAUUACGGGGCGGAAAGCGCGCGUAGGUGGUUCAGUAAGAUAGGUGUGAAAUCCCCGGGCUUAACCUGGGAACUGCUUUCAUAACUGCUGAGCUAGAGUACGGUAGAGGGUAGUGGAAUUUCCUGUGUAGCGGUGAAAUGCGUAGAUAUAGGAAGGAACACCAGUGGCGAAGGCGACUACCUGGACUGAUACUGACACUGAGGUGCGAAAGCGUGGGGAGCAAACA